rnacentral:sRNA from 1 species
UGGCCAUCACCCUGUCUGCCCUCCCCAGAUCUUCACCCGGAUGGGAAAGUGCUACACAUUUAACUCUGGCGCCGAUGGGGCAGAGCUGCUCACCACUACUAGGGGUGGCAUGGGCAAUGGGCUGGACAUCAUGCUGGACGUGCAGCAGGAGGAAUAUCUACCUGUGUGGAGGGACAAUGAGGAGACCCUGUUUGAGGUGGGGAUCCGAGUGCAGAUCCACAGCCAGGAGGAGCCGCCCAUCAUCGAUCAGCUGGGCUUGGGGGUGUCCCCGGGCUACCAGACCUUUGUUUCUUGCCAGCAGCAGCAGGUACCCUCCCGUGUGCCUCCACACCUACUACUUCAAGCCCACACCACCUUGGACCCUAAACCCUCAGCUCCUCAGACCUGUCUAGGGGCCUUUCCCCAGCUGGCCUCUCACGCUCUCCGGGAAGCCUCCUUAACCCUGUCCCCCCACAGCUGAGCUUCCUGCCACCGCCCUGGGGCGAUUGCAGUUCAGCAUCUCUGAACCCCAACUAUGAGCCGGAGCCCUCUGAUCCCCUGGGCUCCCCCAGCCCCAGCCCCAG